rnacentral:tRNA from 1 species
GCCCGGAUGGUGGAAUAGGUAGACACAAGGGACUUAAAAUCCCUCGGCCUGGCGGCCGUGCCGGUUCGACCCCGGCUCCGGGCA